ACCAAACACUCUAACGAUAGUAACUAUCACCCAAUGACGGUGCUCUAACGAAGUGAUCAAUGUUUGUUUUCACCGAUUGAUCGGGUUUCACGGCUUAACACAAUUGUAGAAAAGGUUUUAAUGAUCAUUGUGAAUUUGUUUCUGUAUCAAUAAUACAUAACUUACAUUUUAAUCUCACCGUUGAACUUCGUUCUACCCCAAUUUGUCUCUCCUCUGGUCGUCUGCGAGUUCUAGGAUUGGCGCGCAAAUCACGCUGCUUGUGUUGCACGAGACAUUUGAUGUUAUCUCGACUUCUACUCGAGAUCAGGCACUCUGGACCUGAGUGACGAAGCAAAAAAUACCUGGUUGUUCAAUUUGGUUUUACCAUCGUCUGAAAACAAAAGAUGAAGUAUCGUUUGGUAAAUAACAUAUACUAUAAAUCGUACGGAUACCCAACAUAAGUUAACAAUUCCCAAAGGAGUUUCAACUUCAGAGGUGGCCUUCAGGGGGACUUUGUGGAGAACGUUGAUUUUUCGCGCCAAACAGCAGAACCAGACGAGACCUCCCCAGAAGACGCGUCAGAUGCCCCAGGUUUAUGGAUAUGACUGUUUGACACAAUUUCAUAUUGAUUUUUAUUCUUACAUGUAUCUAUGUAUGAUGUUUGAUGAAAGUGACUUUUUUCUGGGAGAUUAAUUAUGUAAAAGUGUUAAUCCCGUCAGAUGGAAACACAUGGAGUGCUGAGUAAAUUGUUCAAUGCUACAAAGUUCAUUAUUUGCAGAGGUGAAAUCGAACCAAAUAGUAUAUUGACAUUGCAAAGAGAUGUAAUUAAAUCAAAGAUCAGGGGAAUUUUAAACAAACAGAAUGCUUAGUCCUAUGAUCACGUGCGAAAUCAAAGGUACAGUCAGGGAAAUGACAGACGGAAAGUACAAUGGAUUACCAAUACACAGUUAACCAUUUCUAGUUGAAGUGCAACUGUUUGUUCGACA